AAUAAUACCCAGGUAGUCCACGCCGUAAACGAUGAGUGCUAAGUGUUGGGGGGUUUCCGCCCCUCAGUGCUGCAGCUAACGCAUUAAGCACUCCGCCUGGGGAGUACGGUCGCAAGACUGAAACUCAAAGGAAUUGACGGGGGCCCGCACAAGCGGUGGAGCAUGUGGUUUAAUUCGAAGCAACGCGAAGAACCUUACCAGGUCUUGACAUCCCGGUGACCACUAUGGAGACAUAGUUUCCCCUUCGGGGGCAACGGUGACAGGUGGUGCAUGGUUGUCGUCAGCUCGUGUCGUGAGAUGUUGGGUUAAGUCCCGCAACGAGCGCAACCCUUAUUCUUAGUUGCCAUCAUUCAGUUGGGCACUCUAAGGAGACUGCCGGUGAUAAACCGGAGGAAGGUGGGGAUGACGUCAAAUCAUCAUGCCCCUUAUGACCUGGGCUACACACGUGCUACAAUGGACGGUACAAACGGUUGCCAACCCGCGAGGGGGAGCUAAUCCGAUAAAACCGUUCUCAGUUCGGAUUGUAGGCUGCAACUCGCCUACAUGAAC
rnacentral:rRNA from 1 species